rnacentral:rRNA from 1 species
AGAACGAACGCUGGCGGCAUGCCUAACACAUGCAAGUCGAACGAGUGCCUUCGGGUGCUAGUGGCGCACGGGUGCGUAACGCGUGGGAAUCUGCCUUUCGGUACGGAAUAACUCAGGGAAACUUGUGCUAAUACCGUAUGACGUCGCGAGACCAAAGAUUUAUCGCCGAAAGAUGAGCCCGCGUAGGAUUAGCUAGUUGGUGGGGUAAAGGCCUACCAAGGCGACGAUCCUUAGCUGGUCUGAGAGGAUGAUCAGCCACACUGGGACUGAGACACGGCCCAGACUCCUACGGGAGCAGCAGUGGGGAAUAUGGACAAUGGGCGAAAGCCUGAUCCAGCAAUGCCGCGUGAGUGAUGAAGGCCUUAGGUUGUAAAGCUCUUUACCGGGAUGAUAAUGACGAGUACCGGAGAACUAACGCCCCGGACUAACUCCGUGCCAGCCAGCCGACGGUAACUCGUAGACGCGGGUCGUCGGACGAAGGCCGACAGUACG